GACGAAGGGGGCUAGCGUUGUUCGGAAUUACUGGGCGUAAAGCGCGUGUAGGCGGUUGUUCAAGUCGGGUGGGAAAGCCUUGAGCUCAACUCAAGAAAUGCACUCGGUACUGGAUGACUAGAGGACCGGAGAGGAUAGUGGAAUUCCCAGUGUAGUGGUGAAAUACGUAGAGAUUGGGAAGAACACCAGUGGCGAAGGCGGCUAUCUGGACGGUUUCUGACGCUAAGACGCGAAAGCGUGGGGAGCAAACAGG
rnacentral:rRNA from 1 species